UACGGCACUGAAGUGAUUGAUACCAAGCUUCCAGGAAAAGCCACUAAGCUUCAGUCUAGAAUUGACCGUACCGCAAACCGACACAGGUGGGCAGGAUGAAAAUUCUAAGGCGCUUGAGAGAACUCAGGAGAAGGAACUCGGCAAAUUAACACCGUAACUUCGGGAGAAGGUGUGCCCCGGUAGGUUGUAGAGCUUCGCGCUCGAAGGCCGAUGGGGUUGCAGUGAAAUGGUGGCUGCGACUGUUUAAUAAAAACACAGCUCUCUGCAAACACGAAAGUGGACGUAUAGGGAGUGACGCCUGCCCGGUGCCGGAAGGUUAAUUGAUGGGGUGCAAGCUCUUGAUCGAAGCCCCGGUAAACGGCGGCCGUAACAAUAACGGUCCUAAGGUAGCGAAAUUCCUUGUCGGGUAAGUUCCGACCUGCACGAAUGGCGUAACGAUGGCCACACUGUCUCCUCCUGAGACUCAGCGAAGUUGAAAUGUUUGUGAAGAUGCAAUCUCCCCGCGGCAAGGCGGAAAGACCCCAUGAACCUUUACUGUAGCUUUGCAUUGGACUUUGAACCGGUCUGUGUAGGAUAGGUGGGAGACUAUGAAACCGGGACGCUAGUCUCGGUGGAGUCAACCUUGAAAUACCACCCUGGUUUGUUUGAGGUUCUAACCUUGAUCCGUGAAUCCGGAUCGGGGACCGUGCAUGGUGGGCAGUUUGACUGGGGCGGUCUCCUCCCAAAAGGUAACGGAGGAGUACGAAGGUACGCUUAGGGCGGUCGGACAUCGCCCAUAAAGUGCAAUGGCAAAAGCGUGCUUGACUGCGAGACCCACAAGUCGAGCAGGUGCGAAAGCAGGUCAUAGUGAUCCGGUGGUUCUGUAUGGAAGGGCCAUCGCUCAGCGGAUAAAAGGUACUCUGGGGAUAACAGGCUUAUACCGCCCAAGAGUUCAUAUCGACGGCGGUGUUUGGCACCUCGAUGUCGGCUCAUCUCAUCCUGGGGCUGUAGCCGGUCCCAAGGGUAUGGCUGUUCGCCAUUUAAAGAGGUACGUGAGCUGGGUUUAAAACGUCGUGAGACAGUUUGGUCCCUAUCUGCCGUGGGCGCUGGAAAUUUGAAGGGGGCUGCUCCUAGUACGAGAGGACCGGAGUGGACGAACCUCUGGUGUACCGGUUAUGACGCCAGUCGUAUCGCCGGGUAGCUAUGUUCGGAAGAGAUAAACGCUGAAAGCAUCUAAGCGUGAAACUCGCCUUAAGAUAAGAUUUCCCGGAGUCUUGAACUCCUUAAAGGGUCGUCGAAGACCACGACGUUGAUAGGUCAGGUGUGGAAGCGCAGUAAUGCGUUAAGCUAACUGAUACUAAUUGCCCGUACGGCUUGA
rnacentral:rRNA from 1 species